rnacentral:rRNA from 1 species
CCAAUAGCGUAUAUUAAAGUUGUUGCAGUUAAAAAGCUCGUAGUUGAAUUUCGGGGUCUGUCCAUUGGUCGGGCUUUACGGUCCGUACUGGUGAGAUGGGUUCCUACCUUCUGAAUAACCAGCAUGCCAUUCAGUUGGUGCGUUGGGGAAGCAGAGCUAUUACCUUGAAAAAAUUAGAGUGCUUAAAGCAGGCUAGUGCUUGAAUAGAUUAGCAUGGAAUAAUAAAAUAGGACGGCAUGGUCCUAUUUUGUUGGUUUCUAGGAUCACCGUAAUGAUUAAUAGGGAUAGUUGGGGGCAUUAGUAUUCAAUUGUCAGAGGUGAAAUUCUUGGAUUUAUUGAAGACUAACUUCUGCGAAAGCAUUUGCCAAGGAUGUUUUCAUUAAUCAAGAACGAAAGUUAGGGGAUCGAAGACGAUCAGAUACCGUCGUAGUCUUAACCAUAAACUAUGCCGACUAGGGAUCGGACGAUGUUAAUUUUUUAAUGACUCGUUCGGCGCCUUACG